UACGGGGGGGGCAAGCGUUGUUCGGAAUUACUGGGCGUAAAGGGUUUGUAGGUGGCUCGCUAAGUCAGACGUGAAAUCCCUCAGCUUAACUGGGGAACUGCGUCUGAGACUGGCAAGCUUGAGUGCAGGAGAGGAACGCGGAAUUCCAGGUGUAGCGGUGAAAUACGUAGAUAUCUGGAGGAACACCGGUGGCGAAGGCGGCGUUCUGGACUGUAACUGACACUGAGGAACGAAAGCCAGGGGAGCAAACGGG
rnacentral:rRNA from 1 species